GUUCCCAAAGGAAAGAAGGCCAAGAGAAAGAAGGUGGCUCCGGCCCCUGCUGUCCUGAAAAAGCAGGAGGCCAAGAAAGUGGUAAAUCUCCUGUUUGAGAAAAGGCCUAAGAAUUUUGGCAUUGGACAGGAUAUGCAGCCCAAAAGGGACUUAACUCGCUUUGUGAAAUGGCCCCACUAUAUCAGGUUGCAGCAGCAGAGCCAUCCUAUUACAAGCGGCUGAAAGCACUUCCUGAGAUUAUUAACCAGUUCACCCAGGCCCUGGACCAUUAAACAGCUACUCAGCUGCUUAAGCUGGACCACAAGUACAGACCAGAGGCAAAGCAAGACAAGAAGCAGAGCUUGUUGGCCUGGGCUGAGAAGAAAGCUCCCAGCAAAGGGCACAUCCCCACUAAGAGAUCACCUGUCCUUCGAGCAGGAGUUAAUAUCAUCACCACCUUGGUGGAGAACAAAAAGGCUCAGCUGGUGGUGACUGCACACAACAUGGAUCCCAUUGAGCUGGCUGUCUUCCUGCCUGCCCUGUGUCGUAAAAUGGGGGUCCCUUAAGUGCAUUACCAAGGAGAAGGCAAGUCUGGGACAUCUAGUUCACAGGAAGACCUGCACCACCGUCACCUUUACACAGGUUAACUUGGAAGGCAAAGGAGCUUUGACUAAGCUGGUGGAAGCCAUCAGGACCAAUUAUAAUGACAGAUAUGAUGAGAUCUGCCGUCACUGGGUCCCUAGACUGUGGCUCACAUUGCCAAGCUCAAAAAGGCAAAGGCUAAAGAACUUGCCACCAAACUGGGUUAA
rnacentral:lncRNA from 1 species